rnacentral:rRNA from 1 species
CUCCCGGGCCACCCGGCCUGCGGCGGAAUGUUGCGUUAAGGGAAAGGUCAUAUUCAUACCCAUCAGUCACGCGAGCGCUAAGUCAGCUACGAAUUGGCUAUCCCGACUAACGGAGGGACUGACUCCACGGAGGGUGUAAGACCCGUGUGGGCGCGUGUUAAAGCUGAUUGGGGUUGGCCUCUUUUCCCUGAGAGUCGCGUUGCUCUGGCAUGCAGCGCUAAGCAGGUCGUAAACUCGAUCUAAGGCUAAAUAUUUCCACAGGCCCGAUAGCGAACAAGUACCGUGAGGGAAAGUUGAAAAGCACUCUGAAGAGAGAGUCAAAAGACCGUGAAACCGCUCAGAGUAUAAGCCCAUGGAGCUCGGAAGGCAUACCGCAGUCCUAUAACAAGGUCGGCUUGCAUGAAUGGUCCGUCAGGCAGUGGCAUUGAGUUGAUAACACGCUGACGUGCGGGGGAGGACACUGGUCGCGUAGACGGGCUUCGGCCCGUUUUGCACGGCCAGCUACUCCCUUGAGCACGGACGUUCAAGGGUGCUUGCCGUAUGCGGAAACGCCCACCACGUCUCGUUGCGUGGUCACCCACAGGCUCGACUGUCGAUCGCGUGUUCACCUCGUUCGCAAAGAUGUGU